UUUUUUUUUUUUGAAUACUGCUCGCAAGGCGUGGGCAUGCCUUGUAGCCCAUAGUCCUCUGGUCAUGAGGUCUCUUCAAAAAAUUUUUUUUUUCAGGAGAAAGCCCUGUAAGGCGUGGGCACGCCCUGUAAGCCAAAGUUCUCUGGUCAGUGGCCUUUUUUCAAUUUCCCCUCCUUUACACAAGAAUUGCAUCAUAUAGCUCCUAAUCUAUCAGCACUUGCAACCCCAUUUCUGUUUGCUUUGCACAAAUGAUGGAAUUCAGGCAUCCCUUGACAACGCAGGGGUAAACAAGAAAGUUUAAAGAGGUCUUGGGUUAACAAACACGGAUAUCAACCAGAAACGAAGGACAAAAGCUCAAAUUGGUUCACUAUUGGGAGAUAAGAUGAGGGCUUGAUUUUUUAGAUAGCUGAAGAAGGUUAAAUCCUAAAUGCCCUUAUCAUUUCAAAUGCAUCCAAUUCAACAAAAAUGUGGCCUCGACAUGCAUAAACUAGCAAGUUCUAGAAUGCCAAUACCAUGUGUGAUACCCACUCAAUCAAACAAAAUAGAGCAAACAAGAAUAAUAUGCUCAAGCAAGGCUCAAAAGCUCCCCAAAAAUUACAAGAAUGGGUCAAUUCCUGCAUAUUCAACAUUCAAUGACAUUGCCAAGGGAAACAAAAUGCAUAGCUAGCAUACUUGACCACAUAACCACUCACUUUGAUUGUGUCAUUCAUCACAGCAACAUGCCCCAACACUAACAAGCAUAGAAAUAACCAAAAAGCCGACUAACUACAAUGCUUUCUUUUUUUUUUCAUUUUUUCCAUUUUGUUUCAUUUUUUGUUUCAUUUUUUUUCAAUUUUUUUUUGAGUAACAAAGCAAAAAAAAAAA
rnacentral:lncRNA from 1 species